CACCUGAGCCUGGAUGCUCUCCUGCAAGGAAAUCACUCUGAGUCUCUUCGGGGCGGACACUGCCAAGGCGGGCUCUAAGGAGCAGCGCUGCCCCUGCUAAGGAGGUGGCUUUGAAGAAACAGGUAUCUGGAGACCCCAGCUCGAGGCCAGGCCCUGUCACAGGAACCCUACCUGCAGCUCGCUGACCCUCUCCUGCAGUGCCCCAGAGCCUUCGGGGACGGGGCCCUCAAGUGCCAGGGCGGCUUCAAAGCCUUGGAUGACCCUGUCUGCCUCCUGGAUCUGCUUCUCCAGGCCCAGAGCAGCCUUGGCUCUGCGAAACCGGUUUGGAAGGCUAACCAGAAUGCUCGGGUACCUCCAGGCUGCAGGGUUCAUGUGUCAGAGACACAUGGUCAUCACUGGCUGACUCAGUGUUUUCAUCCCUCCAGAUCCCCAUCCAGCUGGGUCAUCUGUGACAGGAGCGUCUGACCUUGUGGGUCAGCGGGGGCUGAGCCUGCCGGAGCUGGGGACAGAAGUGCUAGUGAGGUCUUAUGUCUGCCUGAGAUGGGCCCUCCCUGGGUGCCUGCGGGACCUGGAGGGUGGGCAGGGCCUGACUGAGGGAAGAAGAGUCUAGAUGGAGUACCUCCUACCCAGCACGCCCACCCAUUGGCCCUCCCUGACCAUCCUCUGGUACCCUGCUGGCCAGGCUGUAAGUGUUCCACAGCAGCAGCCUUCAGGCGGUUCUUCUCUGUAGACAGCUUCUGCUUCAGGGUCUGCAGCUCCGUGGCCAGCCUGGAGAGGAUGAGAGGAAGGUGUCUGUCUGUCUGUCUGUCUGUCUGCCUAUCUGGCCCUAGUACCCACUGCUGCAGAGGAAAAAGCAUUGGCCCUGGUGCGUGUGGGCAUCCUGGGGGCCCUGAACCAGCCACGUGUAUGGGUCAGCAUUAUCCUUGAGUGUGUACCGCUCUCCCCGAAGCAGCUGAACCUGAGGACGGAGAGGAACUCCAGUGGGAUCGAGGGUUGGGGACUGGAGAGGUGGCUAGGGUCAAGAUGGGUAGGUGAGACAGCAGCUGGAACAAGGCCGGAGAAGAGGUGGGAGGGGCUGGGGUAAGGACAAGGACAGGUCAGAGGUGGGACAGGUUUGAGAGGGGUGGGGCUGGGUUAGGGAAGGAGUGAGAAGAGGGAGGGACAGGGUGGGGUGGGUUAGGGACUGAAGCAGUGUGGAGAGGUAGGGGACAGAGGCUGGGUCGGGCGAGGAAGGCAGGUAGGGCUCAUACUUCUCCCGAGUCCCAGUCACAGAUGCUGUCCACGUGCAGGGGCUGCUUGGAUGGGUUCCUGCGCUGUGGCAGUGGGGCCACCUCCUGGCUUCGCUGCUGCAGAUCUCCAACAGCCCUCUCUGCUAUGGCCAGCUGCUUCUCCUCUGCCUGUUGGGGACCCAGGCAACAGGAGCUCAGGCCAGGCUACAGUAGAAGCCACCUGCCUCCCUUCCAUCUCCCAAGAGGAGUGUGGGCUUCAUCAGGGGAGAAGCUAAGUCAGACUGUCUGUGGAUGGAUGGAGGCUGGUUUAUGCUCCGCUCCUGGGCCAGCAGCUCAUGCUGCUUGAAGUGCUGAGGACGAUUGAAGCGAGACGGCCAUGAGCAAGAAGAUGGCCCGAGACACCCCCGCUGCCCGGGCCUGAGCCUGUCCCCACAGACCUCAUACUCUCGCCUCACGCCAGCGGGGUCCGGCAUGAGGUCACUCCAAUCCUGCUGCAGGAUGCGGCCUUGUUGAUCGGCCAGGGCGCUCAGCUGCUUCGUGCAGCCUUGCAGGAUGUUGUGCUCGGCCACCUGCUGUUCCAGCUCUGCCAUCCCAGGCCCAUAGUGGCCCUCACGGACCAGAUUCUGCAGAAGAGCCAGGUCCUCAGCCCUACCAGGAAGGUCUGCGUCCUACAGCCCAGAAAGCCCUCCCACCUCCAUGACCCCCCACAGCCACCUGUGUCCUCCCCACAGCAGGAGAGGCAGAGUGGACAGGCCGGGUAAGCAGCCUGGACGAAUGGCAGCUGUUCCCCAUAGUGGGGACAUGACUGUUCUCAUGCGGCCAUCAGGACUAAGGCUCUGAGUCCCAUUGGUUCCCAGGAUUCAGGCCUCACACUGUACUCGUAGCCCAAGCCUCAGUGACUGCUGCCUGGAUGUGUGCAGCCAGUCCCAGGAACUGCCCCUGCCCACGGUCCCUAGUUGCCAUCACAAUGCAUCAAAGACAACUGCUCAGUGUCCUGUGACUUGGUAUGUCCACUGUCCACUCUACCCCCAAUCCCCCCAGCGGGAGCCUUUUGCUUUCCCAGGAGGCCCCCACUUGUCACUAUGACCCAGCUAAGUCCUUCCAGCCCUCAGUGCCUUCUGGAGGAAGCUUCCCCUCGACGAUCCCUGAGCUACCCCCAGGUUCGAAGUUAAAACUCCAGUAGACACCAUUCUGUCUUGCUCUCUGACUGCACCGGGUGUGGCUCUGAGCCCCUUGAGAACGCAUCCUUGUAUGGCCGCCCCUGACCUGUUUCUGCUCCAACACACGCGCCCAGUCGACCCUGGGCCCCACAUCAGGCGGAAGUACCAUCUUCUCAUACAGAGCACGGUACUCCGAGCACUCCUGGGUCACCCGCUCAUGCAGCUGCUUGAUGCUGCCAAGGAAGAGCCGCCAGCCUGUGGGUGCUUGAGCCGCCGCGCCUUGUCUACAUCCAGGAAGAGAUCUUUGAGGAGUACCUCCGCUUCCUUCAGGUUGCGGCCAGUCUCCUGCUGGUGUUGUAAAGCCUGGUUCUGCUCACCAUUCUGCCGAUCCUGCUUCUUCUGCGUCUCCAAAAUGUCUCUUUCCACCUGGUCAGCGUUGGCUUGCAUGCGGGAGAUGAGCAGAGCCAGUUCCUGGGUUGCAGCCCUGGUGGAUUGUCCGGGCCAGAGGACAGCAAUCAUGGAAAGGCCCUCUGUGCCAGCCAUGUAGGACCCGCUCCCCCAUCCCCCACCCCGACCUUCCACAGAGUAAAGUCCAUGGUCUGAGCUCUGAGAGGCUCAGCCUUAGAUGGAGGACGAGGGUACCGUCCCCUGUAGAGGGUUUAGAAGGUGAGAGUCUAGGACUCUGUGGGGCUACAAAGCAUGCAUACCUCAGGUCCUCCAAGACCUGCCCAAUGCCUGCCUGCUUCCUGGGUUGGUGGCAGGUGGCCCAGAGAGAAAGGAAAUUACCUAGGACGGCCUAUCUGGCUUCAGGAGAGGCAAAGUGCUAACUGACCUGAGGCCAGGGAGUAAAGGCAAAUCCCCAGCCUCAGCUUCUCCCCAACCCUGCCUUGUCCGCUUCCACCGCUCUUCUUGCCCAAGGGGCUUCAGCAGUAAGGAGAUUUUAGUGACUCCCUGGAGGAACCAGGCAGGGAGAGGCCAAGAGAUGGUUGGGGUGCCCCAGUAUCCUCCUGCUGACUUAGUGACCCCGAGGAAGCCUGUUGCUCGGCCCCCAAGCUUCUCGCCCAUGCAGCUUUCAGAGGUCCUACUGUGUGCCUGCGCUCUGGGGGUGUGAAUCAGGCUGCAGCUUUCAGAGUUCCUACUGUGUGCCUGAGCUCUGGGGGUGUGAAUCAGGCAGACCUGAACACAACACCCUGCAGGAGUCACACUCCCUCCGGGCCGCAGGGAAGUGUGAGUGCCAGUGAAGAGAAUUGUCUGACUAAGUCUGUGGCCGCGAUGGGUCUGGUCCUUCUUACGAGUACUCAGUACAUAGCCAAGGUUGGCCUGGCUCGGUCAUCCUGCCUCCUCCUCCUCCUCUUCUUCCUCCUUCUGAGGUAUUGAGUCCAUAGGCAUAUGCUACCACAUUUGGGUUUACUUAUUUAAUUUUUUUUUUUUUUACCUUAAAAAGACAAACAACAGUAGGGCAGUGGUGGCGCCCCCGCCUUUUAUCCCAGCACUCGGGAGGCAGAGGCAGGAGCAUUUCUGUGAGUUUGAGGCCAGCCUGGUCUACAGAGUGAGUUCUACACAGAGAAACCCUGUCUCAAACAAACAAACAAACAAACAAAAUAAAAAAUACUCUUCCCCUCCCCCAAACAACAAGAACCCACAACAACUAAGUCUUAUUCUAUAUCCCAGGCUGGCCUGGAACAUACUGUGUUGUCCAGGCUGGACUACCAAGUUCUGGAUUACUGGUGUGGGACAUGGGUUCUUUAAUAUCUUCAGCACAGGUUUUGUUCUGCUUCUAUGAGACAGGCUCUCACUAUGUACCCUUGGCUAGCUCAGACUCACUAUAUAGCCCAGGCUAGCCUCAAAUUCAUAGAGAUUGCCUGCCUGAGCCUUGAGUGCUAGGAUUAAAGUUGGCCUGUGCCACCAUGUCUGGCGCUGAGCACAAAGGUCUCCUAGGUACUUAAAGAAUUAAGCCAUGGGAAGCAGCCAGCUCAGUGCCUUGGAGUCAGCACCCAGUAUGUAUCAUUUUAUUUUUAUGUGUACGGAUGUUUUGCCUAAAUGUAUGUCUGUGUAUCAUG